rnacentral:rRNA from 1 species
ACGUAGGGAGCGAGCGUUGUCCGGAUUCAUUGGGCGUAAAGAGCGCGCAGGCGGUUUGGUAAGUCGGAUGUGAAAUCCCGGGGCUCAACCCCGGACCUGCAUCCGAUACUGCCCGACUAGAGGUAGGUAGGGGAGAUCGGAAUUCCUGGUGUAGCGGUGAAAUGCGCAGAUAUCAGGAGGAACACCGGUGGCGAAGGCGGAUCUCUGGGCCUUACCUGACGCUCAGGCGCGAAAGCUAGGGGAGCGAACAGGA